UACAGAGGGGCAAGCGUUGUUCGGAAUUACUGGGCGUAAAGGGCGCGUAGGCGGCACUGUUAGUCAGGCGUGAAAGUCCUGGGCUCAACCUGGGAACUGCGCUUGAUACGGCAGAGCUAGAGGAUGGAAGAGGCUCGCGGAAUUCCCAGUGUAGAGGUGAAAUUCGUAGAUAUUGGGAAGAACACCGGUGGCGAAGGCGGCGAGCUGGUCCGAUUACUGGACGCU
rnacentral:rRNA from 1 species